rnacentral:rRNA from 1 species
GGGUCAGUAGGUUGGUCGUGCCACCGGUACGUACUGGUCUCACUGAUUCCUCCUUCCUGAAGAACCAUAAUGCCAUUAAUUUGGUGUUGCGGGGAAACAGGACUGUUACUUUGAAAAAAUUAGAGUGUUUAAAGCAAGCUAACGCUUAAAUACAUUAGCAUGGAAUAAUGAAAUAGGACGAUCGAUCCUAUUUUGUUGGUUUCUAGGAUUGACGUA